GUGAAGAGCACUGUUUUGUUAAUGAAACACAAGUGCGUUUUGUCAUUGACUUUUCAAUGAUAGUGGAGAUGUGGCAUUGUGCAUCAAUUUGGAGAGCACCAGACUUCAGUCGGACAGCUUUGAAUAUUUCGCUCAUCAGUUCUGCCCUCUGUAUGUAGGCCUGUGCAUUCAGACCCUUUGUGGUGAUGGACUUCACUAGCUGGAGGAGGUUGUUGGAAUCCUCAUUGCAAACAAUAUUUUCAAAAGUUACACUAUCACAGUCCACUUUGAGUCUAUUCCCUCUCACGGAUGGAUCUGCAUGGAGCCAUUCAGGACAAGGAGAGAG